rfam:Populus trichocarpa scaffold_37_contig_4, whole genome shotgun sequence.
UCUAGAACUCGAGAUAUGGGCUGAACACUGAAUAAUAUCUGGGCUGCAUGAUAGAUUCUGACUUCUCUGUUGUUGCUACAAUUUGAACUUGAAAACGGUCCUUUUUAAAUCUUGCACUCUUCAUAAAAGUUUUAGGCCUAUGUCUUAGCUUUCCAUA